GACGAACGCUGGCGGCGUGCUUAACACAUGCAAGUCGAACGGAAAGGCCCUGCUUUUGUGGGGUGCUCGAGUGGCGAACGGGUGAGUAACACGUGAGUAACCUGCCCUUGACUUUGGGAUAACUUCAGGAAACUGGGGCUAAUACCGGAUAGGAGCUCCUGCUGCAUGGUGGGGGUUGGAAAGUUUCGGCGGUUGGGGAUGGACUCGCGGCUUAUCAGCUUGUUGGUGGGGUAGUGGCUUACCAAGGCUUUGACGGGUAGCCGGCCUGAGAGGGUGACCGGCCACAUUGGGACUGAGAUACGGACCAGACUCCUACGGGAGGCAGCAGGGGGGAAUAUUGCACAAUGGGCGGAAGCCUGAUGCAGCAACGCCGCGUGCGGGAUGACGGCCUUCGGGGUGUAAACCGCUUUCGCCUGUGACGAAGCGUGAGUGACGGUAAUGGGUAAAGAAGCACCGGCUAACUACGUG
rnacentral:rRNA from 1 species